rnacentral:rRNA from 1 species
CCGGCCUACGGGGGGCAGCAGUGGGGGAUAUUGCACAAUGGGGGAAACCCUGAUGCAGCGACGCCGCGUGGGCGAAGAAGUAUUUCGGUAUGUAAAGCCCUAUCGGCAGGGAAGAAUUUAGACGGUACCUGACUAAGAAGCCCCGGCUAACUACGUGCCAGCAGCCGCGGGAAUACGUAGGGGGCAAGCGUUAUCCGGAUUCACUGGGUGUAAAGGGAGCGUAGACGGCCAUGCAAGCCUGGAGUGAAAGCCCGGGGCCCAACCCCGGGACUGCUCUGGGAACUGUGCGGCUGGAGUGCGGGGGG